rnacentral:rRNA from 1 species
AGUGAACGCUGGCGGUAGGCCUAACACAUGCAAGUCGAACGGCAGCACAGUAAGAGCUUGCUCUUACGGGUGGCGAGUGGCGGACGGGUGAGGAAUACAUCGGAAUCUACUUUUUCGUGGGGGAUAACGUAGGGAAACUUACGCUAAUACCGCAUACGACCUACGGGUGAAAGCAGGGGAUCUUCGGACCUUGCGCGAUUGAAUGAGCCGAUGUCGGAUUAGCUAGUUGGCGGGGUAAAGGCCCACCAAGGCGACGAUCCGUAGCUGGUCUGAGAGGAUGAUCAGCCACACUGGAACGGAGACACGGUCCAGACUCCUACGGGAGGCAGCAGUGGGGAAUAUUGGACAAUGGGCGCAAGCCUGAUCCAGCCAUACCGCGUGGGUGAAGAAGGCCUUCGGGUUGUAAAGCCCUCUUGUUGGGAAAGAAAAGCAGCAGGUUAAUACCCCGCUGUUCUGACGGUACCCAAAGAAUAAGCACCGGCUAACUUCGUG